UGGCAUAGUGGUUAAGUGCUAUGGCUUACAACCCAAAGGUCGGUGGUUCAAAUCCACC
rnacentral:tRNA from 1 species